AUGACGUUCCCUGCUCAGCUUCUGGGGCUCCUCAUGCUCUGGUUUCCAGGAUCCAGUGGGGAAAUCGUAAUGACACAGACUCCACUGUCCCUGCCCAUCACCCCUGGAGAGCCGGUCUCCAUCUCCUGCAGGGCCAGUCAGAGCCUCCUACACAGUAAUGGGUACAAUUAUUUGCAUUGGUACCUGCAAAAGCCAGGACAGUCUCCACAGCUUCUGAUCUAUUUGGCUUCUAACCGUUUCACUGGGGUCCCAGACAGGUUCAGUGGCAGUGGGUCAGGGACAGAUUUCACCCUGAGGAUCAGCAGGGUGGAGGCUGACGAUGUUGGAGUUUAUUACUGCCAGCAAAGUUUACAUACUUCUCUCACUUAG